rnacentral:rRNA from 1 species
AGCAUGUGGUUUAAUUCGAAGCAACGCGAAGAACCUUACCAGGUCUUGACAUCCCGAUGCUAUUUCUAGAGAUAGAAAGUUACUUCGGUACAUCGGUGACAGGUGGUGCAUGGGUUGUCGUCAGCUCGUGUCGUGAGAUGUUGGGUUAAGUCCCGCAACGAGCGCAGCCCCUAUUGUUAGUUGCCAUCAUUCAGUUGGGCACUCUAGCGAGACUGCCGGUAAUAAACCGGAGGAAGGUGGGAUGACGUCAAAUCAUCAUGCCCCUUAUGACCUGGGCUACACACGUGCUACAAUGGUUGGUACAACGAGUUGCGAGUCGGUGACGGCGAGCUAAUCUCUUAAAGCCAAUCUCAGUUCGGAUUGUAGGCUGCAACUCGCCUACAUGAAGUCGGAAUCGCUAGUAAUCGCGGAUCAGCACGCCGCGGUGAAUACGUUCCCGGGCCUU